rnacentral:RNase_P_RNA from 1 species
AGAAGUAAUCAAGGUAAUCGCCGGCGCAGUGCCGAAAGGUCGCGCGGGAGGAAAGUCCGAGCUCCAUCGGGCAGGGUGCUGGGUAACCCCCAGUGGGAGUAAUCCUAAGGAAAGUGCCACAGACAUGAUGACCGCCGAUGGCGCUCUCACGUGAGCGCACAGGCAAGGAUGCAACGGUGCGGUAAGAGCGCACCAGCGGUGCGAAGACGCAUCGGCUAGGUAAACCCCACCUGGAGCAAGACCGCAUAGGAGUGCAUUGUGGCGGCCCGUCACGCACUCGGGUAGGUUGCUUGAGUGGCGUGGUAACACGUCGCCUAGAUAGAUGAUUACCACCUCAAGAGUGCGAGGUGAUACACGCUCUUUGUUUUUUGCGAAUGACACCGCUUGUAGCACGAGAGGAACAGAACUCGGCUUAUCGAUUGCUUCUUUGA